rnacentral:lncRNA from 1 species
UGUUAGAACAAUGAUUUUUCUCCCGGAUUUCACACAACUCUGUAUCGUGGUGUCCGAACUUGUUAGACAUGAUUCUAAAAAAAACAAGUGACGAUAACAUCUGAGCGAACAGUUCAGUCAAAACCUAUAGAUGACAAUGAAAUAGCCACAAGGGCACUUUAGUCCUUUCCAAUGCCUAUAAAUAGAAAGGAAAAGAAAAUCAGUAAACAAGAGUUGGGUGGCAAUUUGCGAAACCCAUAUUAGGAAUGACAAUUUUGGGAAGCAAGAUAUCGAGA